rnacentral:rRNA from 1 species
AAUCAACGCUGGCGGCGUGCCUCAGACAUGCAAGUCGAACGAUUAAACUUUCCUUCGGGAAAGAUAUAAAGUGGCGCACGGGUGAGUAACACGUAGGUAAUGUACCUUUGGGUGGGGAAUAACUUAGGGAAACUUAAGCUAAUACCGCAUAAUGCAGCGGCUUCUUCGGAAGACAGUUGUUAAAGAUUUAUCGCCUAAAGAGCAGCCUGCGGCAGAUUAGCUAGUUGGUAAGGUAACGGCUACCAAGGCUACGAUCUGUAUCCGACCUGAGAGGGUGGUCGGACACACUGACACUGAAUAACGGGUCAGACUCCUACGGGAGGCAGCAGUCGGGAAUUUGGGCAAUGGGCGAAAGCCUGACCCAGCAACGCCGCGUGAAGGAUGAAGUC